rnacentral:sRNA from 1 species
UGUUACUACUAGACUUCCGGAGGUAUC